GGACAUGACGUGUGGCUGUCGUAAAAACCCUAUUUGUAAACAACCAGUCCUUUUAACUCGGGGCUGCGUCAUAAACACGGAGCGCUUGGAAGACCACGAUGUCAUCUUCCUUCUGUCAGGAGGAUCAAAGUGAAGCUACAGGAGUUUCAUUAAAGUCAACAACUUGGACCGAACGGUUUGUUUUGCUUGAUGAAGAGCAGGAAGGGCAGCCUGGAGAGAAAGAGAAGCCGGGUUGAGCCCACUACCAUCAUCCAUGUACCACAAGGAAGAUGAGGGAGAGAAAUGAUCCUACCAUUAAAGAGACUGUGAAAAGAACGUUGAGAACAUCACCACUCUACAGGAAGACACAGUCCAGUAAUGGGUGUCAGAAGUUCAGUAGUGAACGACAGAAACAAACAAUCCAAAUUACCUGCAGAAAGCCCUUGAUGGACGCUUCAGCUGCAUCGUCAGACUGGCC